AGAGACAGAGAGAGAGAAUAUAUGAGAAAGUGAAGAAGAGAAAAUGGGAGAGGGAGAGAAAACAUACAAUUAUGUAUGUCUGGAGCACACCAUAUUAAAGGAGGGAGUGGCAGAAAACGUGAGGUGGGAAUCAAAUCAUGCUGGGCUUUUUGGCCAGCAAACUUGGAAAUCAUGUCUUAGAGAUCAAGGAGCCAAGAGAUGAGACAAGCCUGGGUUCCUAGGUGAUAGGGUGUGGCUGUGUCCCCACCCAAAUCUCGUCUUGAAUUGUAGCUCCCAUAAUCCCCACAUGUUGUGGAGGGACCCUGUGGAAGAUCUUUAAUAAAUGAAAUAAAUGUGACUGUAUGUCCUACAUCCCAUUCCUGUUGUCUUCCAUGUCUCCUCAGAGAUUGUGCCUGCAGCCUGGCCUGUUGCCCACAGCGGUCUACCUGCCACACUGGGAAAGAUCGAGCAGAGACAGAGAAGAAAAGGAGGCUCCAUUUUUCAGGCUGCUCUCCCGCAGGCUCAUGUUUUGUGUUCAUGCCAGGCAGAGAACACAAAAUGUUCCAAUAAAUAAGUAUCAAAGGUUAGUGGUGAAAAUGAAGGAGGAGGAGGCAUUGCGUGAAAAACUAAACAUGCAAAAUAUUACACACAAAGAGAACCAAAAUGCAGGUUCACUGGAAAUGAUAGACAAUAUGUUAAAACAAGAGGAGAGAAGAGAGCUGAAAUAAUCAAAUGGAAACACACAAUUUAGGGCUAAGAUCUUGUUGUGUUCAGCCACAAAUGAUGGCCAGCAGUGAGGAAUCUGUGUGUUCUCCACACUCUUCGCUCCUGGGAAGUCAACUCACAUGGACCAUGAUAUCAAUAUCUGCUCCUUCCCCUAAUAUCUGUUUGACCUUGGGUCAGUUACUUAAACUUCCUAAGCCUUAGUUUCUUUGUCUGGAAAAUAGGGAUAGUUAUACCUACCACACAACCACUUUGUAAUGAAUAUGUUGGAAAUUAUAUGCAAAUUGGCUUCCGUUGGUGUUUGGAACAUAGUAGGUUUUUAACUGGAAUAUAAUAGCUACCAUUAUCAGUAUCAUCAUAUUAAUUUAUAUUUCCAUCUUCAGCCCUUAACCCAGGAUCUUCAGUAAAUGUUGAAUUCUCAAAUUUGUUAAAUUCACUUGUCUAUACUAAUAUUUUACUCUAGGUUUCUUAGAAUAUUCUAGAUAAUAUUAUUAUGUAGAAUAUGUUAUGUAAGCUUCAUCUUAUCUGUAAAUAUAGUUUUACUUUUUCCUUUCUAAUUUUUAUGUCGAUUACUUCUUUUUCUUGGCUUAUUGAAUUGGCUAGGAUUCCCGUACAGUGUUGAAUACGUGCAGCAAGACUGCACAUCUUGCCUUGUUCCUGGUCCCACAGAGAGAAUAUCCAGUACUUCACAAUAAGUAUGUGUUAAUUGUAGAUUUUAUUAGAUUGAGGAAGUUCCCUUUCCUUUCAAGUCAGUCUUUUUAUUUUAAACAUGUAUUGAAGUUUUGUCAAAUGUCUUCAUCUAUUGGAAUAAUUAUACAUAUCUCUUUUUUAUUCUGUUAAUAUUACAUUUCAAUCUUCUGUCUACCUAAAAUCCCUAGAAUAAUCUCCAUUUGGCUAUGAUGUGUUGUGCUUUUAUAUAUUACUGAAUUCUAUAUGCCAAUAUUAUUAAAAUUUUCUGUCUUUAUGAGAAAUAUUUGAAUGUAUAUUUUUUCAUGUAUUUGUUUUGAUUUUAUUUUCAAUGCCAUUUUGUAAAAGAGCAUUAAAGUGUUAGUAUGAAAG
rnacentral:lncRNA from 1 species